CCUGAUUCGAGAGGGAUAGUAAGGUAUCUAUUUCCUCAUGGAAGCAAAGUCAUAGCUCAAAAGUAAAAAAGAAAAGAGCUGGGAAGCUGAAGAAACCUGUGGACAGACUUCUCUAGAAGGAGCUCUCAGAAUGCUGUGCCUCCCCCCACUCCGGACCUCUGUGGCCGCUCAUCUCAAACCAAGCAGCAGGCAGAGAGUGAUGGGAAAGCCAUGGAACCUGUCAACAUUCUUCCAGAGGCAGAGAAGAGCUGGUCAAGAGAGUGUGUGUGGACAGCAGUGGAGGGAAGCAGUCAA